rnacentral:rRNA from 1 species
UACAGAGGUCUCAAGCGUUGUUCGGAUUCAUUGGGCGUAAGGUGCGUAGGUGGCGCCGUAAGUCAGGUGUGAAAUUUCGGAGCUUAACUCCGAAACUGCAUUUGAUACUGCGGUGCUUGAGGACUGGAGAGGAGACUGGAAUUUACGGUGUAGCAGUGAAAUGCGUAGAGAUCGUAAGGAAGACCAGUGGCGAAGGCGGGUCUCUGGACAGUUCCUGACACUGAGGCACGAAGGCCAGGGGAGCAAACGGG